GUGGGGAAUAUUGGACAAUGGGCGAAAGCCUGAUCCAGCCAUGCCGCGUGUGUGAAGAAGGUCUUCGGAUUGUAAAGCACUUUAAGUUGGGAGGAAGGGCAGUAAGUUAAUACCUUGCUGUUUUGACGUUACCAACAGAAUAAGCACCGGCUAACUUCGUGCCAGCAGCCGCGGUAAUACGAAGGGUGCAAGCGUUAAUCGGAAUUACUGGGCGUAAAGCGCGCGUAGGUGGUUCAGCAAGUUGGAGGUGAAAUCCCCGGGCUCAACCUGGGAACUGCAUCCAAAACUACUGAGCUAGAGUACGGUAGAGGGUAGUGGAAUUUCCUGUGUAGCGGUGAAAUGCGUAGAUAUAGGAAGGAAGACCAGUGGCGAAGGCGACUACCUGGACUGAUACUGACACUGAGGUGCGAAAGCGUGGGGAGCAAACAGGAUUAGAAACCCCGGUAGUCC
rnacentral:rRNA from 1 species